rnacentral:rRNA from 1 species
GGAAUAUUAGUAAUGGGCGAAAGCCUGAACUAGCGACACCGCGUGUGCGAAGAAGGCCUUCGGGUUGUAAAGCACUUUUAGAGAGGAUGAGGAAGGACGGUACUCUCUGAAUAAGUCUCGGCUAACUACGUGCCAGCAGCCGCGGUAACACGUAGGAGGCAAACGUUAUCCGGAUUUACUGGGCGUAAAGCGCGUGUAGGUGGUUCUGUAAGUAGGGCGUGAAAGCUCCCGGCUCAACUGGGAGAGGCCGUUCUAAACUGCAGAGCUAGAGGAUGGUAGAGGGAGGUGGAAUUCCGGGUGUAGCGGUGGAAUGCGCAGAUAUCCGGAGGAACACCAGUGGCGAAGGCGACCUCCUGGGCCACUCCUGACACUCAGACGCGAAAGCUAGGGUAGCAAACG